rnacentral:tRNA from 1 species
UGGGGCAUAGCUCAGUGGUAGAGUAUUUACCUAGCAUGCACAAAGACUUGGGUUCAACCUCCAGCACCAA